rnacentral:piRNA from 1 species
CAAUCCAUACCACUAGAGAAGUUAGGC